AGAGGUGAAAGAGGAGUAAGUAGGGGCUUCUAACCCUUGCUUGAGUAGUUAGAGUCUAUUCUUGCCUCUG
rnacentral:tRNA from 1 species